rnacentral:lncRNA from 1 species
UCUGCAUAGAUAAAGGCCUUAGAGGUGUUAUUAUAGCUGGUGGUUCGGUUAAUAUCCUAAUGGCUGCCGCCGAAGGUGUUGCGGGACUUUCCCAGUGUUUAAUUGGCGGUGGAGGCGGCGGAGGUGGUGGAAUUGAAACAACCGGAGGCGGUGGGAUUGAAACAGUGGGAGGCGGCGGCGGAGGAGGUGGUGGGGCUGAAACAGUUGAAGGCGGUGAUGGAAUGGAAACAGGC